GGAAUCUUGGACAAUGGGGGCAACCCUGAUCCAGCGACGCCGCGUGGGUGAUGAAGGCCUUCGGGUCGUAAAGCCCUUUUGCCGGGGAAGAUGAUGACGGUACCCGGAGAAGAAGCACCGGCUAACUCUGUGCGAGCAGCCGCGGUAAGACAGAGGGUGCUAGCGUUGUUCGGAAUUACUGGGCGUAAAGGGCGCGUAGGCGGCUCGUUUAGUCGGGUGUGAAAUCCCGGGGCUCAACCCCGGAACUGCAUUCGAUACUGGCGGGCUUGAGACCGAGAGAGGUGGGUGGAAUACCCAGUGUAGAGGUGAAAUUCGUAGAUAUUGGGUGGAACACCGGUGGCGAAGGCGGCUCACUGGCUCGGAUCUGACGCUGAGGCGCGAAAGCGUGGGGAGCAAAC
rnacentral:rRNA from 1 species